UGCCUACAGGGGAACUCGUCUCUUCCUUUAUCUGUCGGAAUGAUACCUAUUCGCGCUGGUGAUCCAUUUGCAGUAUAGAUUGUUGAGUGUGGAAGGAAUUUUAUUACGUAUUUCUUCAUUUGUUUGGAUAACAGUGCAAUAAAUGAUCAAACGAUGGAAAGAGAAAUCGAGUUUGUAAAUUCAAAUAAAUAUCAUGAAUGAGACGACGAAGGGUCUCAUGAACAUAAGUGAGGUCAAAUUAUAUCAAUUUCAAUAUUGCGAGAAAUUGAAGAAUGUUCAGAAGAAAGAUACGAAAAAAUAUUAUUUCUCAUAAAAUAAAUAAAAUUAUUCUAACCUUUAAAAAAAUUACUAAGAAAAGAGUAUGUAAUCCUUGAAAUGUUCUCUCACGAAUAAUAUCAUGAAAUC